rnacentral:rRNA from 1 species
UACGUGAAACCGUUCAGGGGUUAAGCGGGAGACAUCCUGAAUUCGAAAGGGGACGGGAUUCACGUUCCUCCGUGCAGACAGCGUCGUGCCCUGGCCGUGAUGGUGCCGGUCCGCCGCGGCGACGUGUAUCGCUUGCGGUGUAGUACUGGCGCCACUCGGUUUUGCGGCUGACCGCAUCACGGAGGACGGCACUUCACCCCUAGUAGAAACGUCGCGACCCGUUGGGUGCCGGCCAAAGGCCUGGGAAGGCAGACCGCGCGUUCUGUGGGUGGUACCACGAGCGUGCGGACUCCCGGUGACCCGGCCGGCUGCCCGACGGUAUGAUCAGAGGAGCCGGUCCGCUACACUGGAAACACUGUAGUUGUGAAGCGUGCGGCCCGGUUAAGUAGCGUGUGGGGUCUUUGUGAAAACCGGGAUAUACCGUGUGUCUACGGGCCCGUACCCUGCUGCGUUUGCGGCGCCGGUGUUCUCGCACGUGAUCGAUACUCCCGUCUGCGACGCACACCGUCGGAUUG